UACGUAGGGUGCGAGCGUUGUCCGGAAUUAUUGGGCGUAAAGAGCUCGUAGGCGGUGUGUCACGUCGGCCGUGAAAACUUGCAGCUUAACUGUGGGCGUGCGGUCGAUACGGGCAUCACUGGAGUUCGGCAGGGGAGAGCUGGAAUUCCUGGUGUAGCGGUGAAAUGCGCAGAUAUCAGGAGGAACACCGGUGGCGAAGGCGGGUCUCUGGGCCGAUACUGACGCUGAGGAGCGAAAGCGUGGGGAGCAAACAGG
rnacentral:rRNA from 1 species